rnacentral:rRNA from 1 species
AGUGAACGCUGGCGGUAGGCCUAACACAUGCAAGUCGAACGGCAGCACCGUAAGAGCUUGCUCUUACGGGUGGCGAGUGGCGGACGGGUGAGGAAUACAUCGGAAUCUACUUUUUCGUGGGGGAUAACGUAGGGAAACUUACGCUAAUACCGCAUACGACCUACGGGUGAAAGCAGGGGAUCUUCGGACCUUGCGCGAUUGAAUGAGCCGCUGUCGGAUUAGCUAGUUGGCGGGGUAAAGGCCCACCAAGGCGACGAUCCGUAGCUGGUCUGAGAGGAUGGUCAGCCACACUGGAAGUGAGACACGGUCCAGACUCCUACGGGAGGCAGCAGUGGGGAAUAUUGGACAAUGGGCGCAAGCCUGAUCCAGCCAUACCGCGUGGGUGAAGAAGGCCUUCGGGUUGUAAAGCCCUUUUGUUGGGAAAGAAAAGCAGCAGGUUAAUACCCCGCUGUUCUGACGGUACCCAAAGAAUAAGCACCGGCUAACUUCGUG